GAAGAGGUUCAUUAUACGUCGUACUUAGUGGUCAGAAAAAAAAAAAAAAAUUGAGUGUAAUGUGGCUAGUAUUUUUUAUUUUUUUAAUAAGAGUUUUAAAAUCAAUUUUGACUAAAAUAUACGGCCUUUCAAAUCAUGUAUAAAAGAACUUCGAUCUGAAUCGUUUUUCGUUAGCCAUGGUUUGACGUUGGUUACAGGUAUAAAUUAAAUAACUCUAUGUACAUCACCUUUCCGACUAUCCACUUAGAACAGUGGCCGCACCGGU